rnacentral:rRNA from 1 species
GACGAACGCUGGCGGCGUGCUUAACACAUGCAAGUCGAACGGUGAUGCUCCAGCUUGCUGGAGUGGAUCAGUGGCGAACGGGUGAGUAACACGUGAGCAACCUGCCCCAGACUCUGGAAUAAGCGCUGGAAACGGCGUCUAAUACUGGAUACGAAACUGGCCCGCAUGGGCAUGGUUUGGAAAGUUUUUCGGUUUGGGAUGGGCUCGCGGCCUAUCAGCUUGUUGGUGAGGUAAUGGCUCACCAAGGCGACGACGGGUAGCCGGCCUGAGAGGGCGACCGGCCACACUGGGACUGAGACACGGCCCAGACUCCUACGGGAGGCAGCAGUGGGGAAUAUUGCACAAUGGGCGAAAGCCUGAUGCAGCGACGCCGCGUGAGGGAUGACGGCCUUCGGGUUGUAAACCUCUUCAGCAGGGAAGAAGCGAAAGUGACGGUACCUGCAGAAGAAGCACCGGCUAACUACGUG